rnacentral:rRNA from 1 species
UACGGAGGGUGCAAGCGUUGUUCGGAAUUCCUGGGCGUAAAGCACGUGUAGGCGGUUCGGUAAGUCGGUUGUGAAAGCCCCGAGCUCAACUCGGGAAUUGCGUCCGAAACUGCCGGACUGGAGUCCCGGAGAGGAAGGCAGAAUUCCCAAUGUAGGGGUGAAAUCCGUAGAUAUUGGGAGGAAUUCCGGCUGCGAAGGCGGCCUUCUGGACGGUGACUGACGCUGAGACGCGAAAGCGUGGGGAGCAAACAGG